rnacentral:ncRNA from 2 species
GAAACGAACGGGGAUGGGGUCCCCCACAACCGCCGCGCAGGCUGAUGACUCCUACCGGUUA